ACUCCUACGGGAGGCAGCAGUGGGGAAUAUUGGACAAUGGGGGCAACCCUGAUCCAGCAAUGCCGCGUGUGUGAAGAAGGCCUGCGGGUUGUAAAGCACUUUUCUGAAGGAAGAAAAUUGUUGGUUAAUACCCAACGAUCCUGACGGUAUUUCAGGAAUAAGCACCGGCUAACUCCGUGCCAGCAGCCGCGGUAAUACGGAGGGUGCAAGCGUUAAUCGGAAUUACUGGGCGUAAAGGGUACGUAGGCGGUUUGCUAAGUCGGAUGUGAAAG
rnacentral:rRNA from 1 species